UUUGACCUCGGAUCAGGUAGGAAUACCCGCUGAACUUAAGCAUAUCAAU
rnacentral:rRNA from 6 species